rnacentral:rRNA from 1 species
GAUGAACGCUGGCGGCGUGCUUAACACAUGCAAGUCGAACGAGAAGUGAAGACGGAACCCUUCGGGCGGAAGGCUUUAUUUCGAGUGGCGGACGGGUGAGUAACGCGUGGGUAACCUGCCUCAUACAGGGGGAUAACAGUUGGAAACGACUGUUAAUACCGCAUAAGACCACAGCACCGCAUGGUGCGGGGGUAAAAACUCCGGUGGUAUGAGAUGGACCCGCGUUCGAUUAGCCAGUUGGCGGGGUAACGGCCCACCAAAGCGACGAUCGAUAGCCGAUCUGAGAGGAUGACCGGCCACAUUGGGACUGAGACACGGCCCAAACUCCUACGGGAGGCAGCAGUGGGGAAUAUUGCACAAUGGGGGAAACCCUGAUGCGGCGACGCCGCGUGAGUGAAGAAGUAUUUCGGUAUGUAAAGCUCUAUCAGCAGGGAAGAAAAUGACGGUACCUGAGUAAGAAGCCCCGGCUAACUACGUG